rnacentral:piRNA from 1 species
UACAUAAGGGGUGGAGCCUAAUCCAGAGA